rnacentral:rRNA from 1 species
AGAACGAACGCUGGCGGCAUGCCUAAUACAUGCAAGUCGAACGAACUCUUCGGAGUUAGUGGCGCACGGGUGCGUAACGCGUGGGAAUCUGCCCCUUGGUUCCGGAAUAACAGUUGGAAACGACUGCUAAUACCGGAUGAUGACGAAAGUCCAAAGAUUUAUCGCCAAGGGAUGAGCCCGCGUAGGAUUAGCUAGUUGGUGAGGUAAAGGCUCACCAAGGCAACGAUCCUUAGCUGGUCUGAGAGGAUGAUCAGCCACACUGGGACUGAGACACGGCCCAGGACUCCUACGGGAGGCAGCAGUAGGGAAUUUUGGACAAUGGGCG